rnacentral:rRNA from 1 species
GACGAACCGUGCUAACGUUGUUCGGAAUCACUGGGCUUAAAGGGCGCGUAGGCGGGCAUGCAAGUCAGGGGUGAAAGCCCACGGCUCAACCGUGGAAGUGCCUUUGAUACUGCGUGUCUUGAGCGAGGUAGGGGCGUGCGGAACUUCCGGUGGAGCGGUGAAAUGCGUAGAUAUUGGGAAGAACACCGGUGGCGAAGGCGGCUCUCUGGACCGAGACUGACGCUGAGGCGCGAAAGCGUGGGGAGCAAACAGG